rnacentral:lncRNA from 10 species
GAGCCGGCGCCGCGCCGCCGCCGCCGCCCGCUCCUCCUCCGCGGCCUGGGCCGCCGCCGCCUCGGCCCUACCUGUAAUUGGUAUAGUGGUUCACACCUGUAAUACCAGCACUUUGGGAGCAGGUGGAAUGCCUGAGCCCGGGAGUUUGAGACCAUGCUGGGCAACAAAGUGAGACCCUCUCUCUACAAGAAAAUAAAAAAAUUAGCCAGAUGUGGUGGCGCACGCCUGUGGUCCCAGCUACUCAGGAGGCUGAGGUGGGAGGAUGGCUUGAGCCCAGGAGGUCAAGGCUGCAAUGAGCUAUGAUCAUACUACUGCACUCCAGCCUGGGCAACAGCACAAGACCAUCUUAAAGAAAGAAAUAAAUUGUGGCAAAAUAUACAAAGUAUAAAAUUUAUCAUUUUAACCCUUUUUGAGUAUGCAAUUGCAUGGCAUUAACUGCAUUCACAUCGUUUUGCAGCCAUCAUCACUAAUCCAUCUUUAGAACUUUUUCACCAUCCCAAAGUGAAACUCUUUCCCCUUUAAACAAUCACUCCCUGUUUCCCUACUUCCUUCCCUCUCUGCUGUUAACCAGUGUUCUACUUUCUGUCUCUGUGAAUUUGACUACUCUAGGUACCUCAUAUAAGUGGAAUCAUGUAGUAUUUGUCCUUUCGUGAUGAACUUACUUCAUUAACGUAAUGUCUUCAAGGUUCAGCCACGUUGUAGCAUAUGUUAGAAUGUCCUCCCUUUU